ACACUCGCUUUUCAAAACCCAUCAACAAAGUGACUGUCAGUACUGACUACACAUUAGCUUGUAGAUAGUUAUCUUAGCUUUCUACUGUAUCGAUGGAUUCCAAGGAGAGUGAAAUCGCUAGAUGUUUAAAUAGUAAUGAUGUUGAGCUGGUUCAGUCGAUCGGUGGCGUCAAUUUAUUGGCUACUACUUUUUUACCUGAGCCGGAGCACCAAUGUCGAGACCGAGCCCCGCCUUGGGAGGCAACCGAUGAAGACCACACGUCAAUUAUUGUGCUUCAGUGAGUCGAGGUGAAAUAUGUCAGUGAUGCUGUGCAACAAAUUGAAAAUGCUUGCAUGGUCAGGUGCACUUGCAAGUCCAACGAAGGGUAGCCCUGCUAUUUGCUUUUUACCCCAAAGGAGAUGAGACGUGACAAGAUGAAUUAACUCACCAAUGGUACUAUGAAAAACACAUCUAGUGCUCAUUGGACAGAUCACUGGUUCCAUGAACCUCUCCAAGGAAACUGUCAUCUCAAAGGAGCAAACAAGCAGAAAGGAGACAUCAGAUGAUGUCCUAUUUCCUUGAUCGCCAGCAGAUCUGAAGACUCAUAAGUUCUUUAGAGUAAUACAACUUGAUGUUUUCUGUUAUUUUGGGGCUGCAACAGUAUUAAAAGUGCUUCCCAAACUGUUUGCGUUGCCCUUCUGCUAUAGGACAACACCCAUGACGUAUUUAUUUAUUCCAAACAUCUGUCAGCACAAAGAUUCAAGUCACUACCAGCCAUCAGGAUUUAAAACUGCUUUCAGAGGGCAUAACCACCUCAAACUUGCUUUCAAAAUAAACAAUUUGCAACAGAAACUGAACGUCUGUUCAGGAAGUCAUAUCUAGGCUACUUCCCCAUUUCACAUUACAAAACAUUUCCCAAUUACUGAACUAUGCAAUGAGCUAUGAAAUGCACACACACCAUUCAAAUUAUUGUAAAAGUGCCAUCAUCCAUUCUCCCUUCAUUUAAGUAGCCUAAUCACUCAUUUGAAUUGACUGUAGAAGUGAAAGCCAAGGAGCCCUUUUGUUGACCUGUCCAAUCAGUGAUUCAAGGAAUGGAGGAGGGAUGGAUGCACAUAAGGAAUAAGAAUGGGGCUGAAAUACCCAAUCCUAGUCUUCAAAGAAGAAGAUAUCAAAUCUCAUUUUCACAUACAGAAAAGUAGAUUUGCCCCAGACAAAUGACGCAGCCCCCCCCCCCCCACCCCCCCCCCCCAGCAGAGAACACCUUAAAGACCUUGAGUCCACGCAGGUAGACCUAUUCAUUACUGUGAGUAUGAACAUUCAUAGCUGUGGAGACCAAGUCAUUCAAUGAGUUAAUCACAGAUGUACACAAUGUCACACAGCAAUAGGAAUAACAUUUUUACUAUUAAAAUGAAAUAUUCAUUUGGCCAUUAUUCAGUUUUAUUAUUCAUUUUGAAUAUAUAAUACAGUUUAUCAUAGAUUAACACAGGGUUACAUACACUGAUAGAUUAUACUGAGAUUAACACAGGGGUACAUGCAAUGUAAGUAAUUCUACAUUACGAUAAUAAAAAAUACAUUUGAUUUGUAACACGCUUUUCAAAAACUCAAGAUGCUACAAUAAAUAAAUAAAAUCCUCAAAGCAGUGUACAACACAUAAUCAAGACAAUCCAGAGACUUCUAAUACUCUGGGAUAUAAAGAUAUCAGUCUGGUAAAAUGUAGCGUUACUAGUAAUACAAUAAGGUUGUUGAGAUUAAGAAGUUUACUAUAGUGACACUAGUAGAGACACUGAACUACAGUCAAUAUGUAUAGACAUGAUGUCAUUAUAAAAGGAGGGCUUUUUACUAGGGCUGGGCUGUAUACCGUUUUUUGCGAUAUACCAGUAUUGAUGCAUGGACCAGUUUGGUUUUUACUUUACCUUCUAUACCGGUAUUUGAAUGUUUGGUUUGUUAAAUGUGAUACGCAGUGUGUAACGUCCAUUUUUAUAGUUUACUUCUCUACUGGAGUCAUCUCUCUCCACUCGCCCUAUGUCGCUUUCCACACCGACCUAGCCACGCCCCCUGUCACUCAAGGAGAGCAUUUGAUGUUCCUCAACCACGAGACACUUGAGUUCAUUCUGCAUGGUCAAUGCAACAUACAUCAAUGCACAACUGUUGAUGACAACGAUGCAGUUGUCACUUUGCUUCUUAAUAUUAAUCUACUAGCGUUCUAUAAUUACACAAUUAGCUUGUGUUUCUUACAUAUGCAAACAGAUAGUUAGACGCUAAUCGCUAGCUAGCUAAUAAAUGUACUGAGUAAGAGCAAGCGUAAUUAGCUAUACAUCCUGAUAAUACCAGUGAUAGUGUAGACCUAAAUUAGCAUGUUGUUUGCACAACAGUCUUCUAAAUUAAAGAGGUAAACACAAAGCAAGAAUAUGUUAGCUACAUGAAGUAAAGAUUAUAGGGUCCCCUAGGAAACACCCAUCAACACAUUAGUUCCUACCCUGUCACAAU